rnacentral:rRNA from 1 species
GACGGAAGGUGCAAGCGUUGCUCGGAAUCACUGGGCGUAAAGGGUGCGUAGGCGGCUUCUUAAGUCUGGUGUGAAAGCCCAGGGCUCAGCUCUGGAAGUGCACUAGAAACUGGGAAGCUUGAGUACCGGAGGGGAGAGUGGAAUUCCUGGUGUAGCGGUGAAAUGCGUAGAUAUCAGGAGGAAUACCGGUGGCGAAAGCGACUCUCUGGACGGUUACUGAGCUGAGGCGCGAAAGCCAGGGGAGCGAACGGG